GAGUCUGGUUCUGGUAGAGGUUCUUUACAAAAAAAAGGCCCAUGUUGUAGAACAGGCCGGUGAUGUCUUUGGUUGUCAUGAGGCUGGCCGGUGAGAAUGCCACGUUGCUGGAGCCAAAUGAGCCCGGCGUAAACCUGCGGAGGAACAUGACAGAUACAGGAUUUUCUGAAAAUGAAAGCGAGUUCACCAUGACUACGACAGAUACUAGAUAAGCGGAAGCCGUGUUCGGAGCCACCAACAGUGUCUUCCUUGGAUUCGUUCGUGCAAUAAGGAGGGUACCCGGCCUUCUUCACGUGUCGAGCAACAAGGGUGAUCGAGGAGGAUUUUCGUGGCCCGGUGGGUGUCGUGCUCUUCAACCACUUGGAGGUGGACUUCACCGUGAAGCCCAGUGACUACUGCACACAGAUGAUCAUCCAGGUGAUCGCGAUGUCGGAGGUCGCCAAGGUGGAGGUCCUCGACGCCACCGUCCGGGGGGAGGUCCACCGGUGUCUGAACUCCAAGCCUUAGUAGAUACAUCUAGAGAAGUGGUCUGUUUAGGUUGGUGGUGGAAUGCUAGGGAAGGUACCCACCUUUAGAUGAUGGUUGUGUUCGUCUGAUGUUAAAUGGGAUGUCGUGAUUUCUUUCAGUUGAGAUGUUGUUCCUUGACACGAGUCUGAUGUUAAAUGGGAUGUUGUGAUUUCUUUCAGUUGAGAUGUUGUUCCUUGACAUGAGUUUAUUUUGCACUGGGCAUGUCUAUUUUCUAUC